rnacentral:piRNA from 1 species
UUGUCACGUAGAAACUCAUAAACCUGGUC